UACCAGCACCCCGAGUGGUCGGGACGAUUAUUGGGCCUAAAGCAUCCGUAGCCGGUUCUACAAGUCUUCCGUUAAAUCCGCCUGCUUAACAGAUGGGCUGCGGAGGAUACUAUAGAGCUAGGAGGCGGGAGAGGCAAGCGGUACUUAGUGGGUAGGGGUAAAAUCCGUUGAUCCAUUGAAGACCACCAGUGGCGAAGGCGGCUUGCCAGAACGCACUCGACGGUGAGGGAUGAAAGCUGGGGGAGCAAACCGG
rnacentral:rRNA from 1 species